rnacentral:tRNA from 1 species
AUUUAAAUAGUUUAAUUAAAAAUUUUGAUUUGUGGUAUCAAAGAUGUAGAGAAUACUUUAGAUU